UCCACCUCCCGGGGGAGGCACAAUAAGGAAAUGAAGUUCCACCAGGAACGUCGUUGGCGGUUGAUACUUGAUAGCUGCCUCUGUGUACCAGGCACCGACCAGGCUCCUGCAGUCCUCAAUGUCACCCUCGGGGGCCCAUGUUGCAGAGUAGAAAAGAAGGCAGAGGCCGGCCUCUAGCCCUGUGGGAGAACAGUGAAGGAAGGAGGGAGGGUGGGCGUGACCAGGCCAGAGCAAUCCAGGAAGGCUCCCCGGAGGAGGGGGACAACUCCAGGGACCCUCAGGAGAGCAGCUGGCUGUGAGGGCUGUCCCAGGAGACAGGAGGGUGGAGUCCCACAGCCUGGGUUCAAAUCUUUGUGGCCCUGCUUCCUGACUGGGUGCUGGGGACAGGUGACGGCUUCCCAGACUUGUCCGGGCUUCCCUCCUCCCCCACUUUGCCUGGCUCCGCUCAGCGCUGCGUCCUGAGCCAGCGGCUGACCCCAGCCUGCACCAGCUCCAGGCCCAGUGAAGCCCCUCCCUCCAAAAGCACUAAGAAGUUCAAGAGCAUUAAAUCAGGAGUGGAGUCCCCUUCCAGGUGGAGGUCCCCGGCCACCACCUGGGUCACAAACCCUACAGCUCGCCCUGGCCCAGCCUCAGUGACCACCUGCCCCGUGUUCUGGCUGCAAAUCUCCCCUACAGCUGCUGGCCCUCACCACCCCCUGCCCCUGCUGCUCGGCCACCGUGGGCAGGAGUGGUGGCUUCCCUCAGCUCACCCUGUGGGCAGGUGGCCCUAGAUGGACUCCAGGUGCCACCUACAGUUAGACUUCAGAUCCUUUGAGUAUUGGAUUCUGGAGGCAGAGAACAUUCCAGGAGAGGGGAGCGGCCCUGCAGGAGCCUGCCUGAGGGACUGGCCGCUUUGCUUCAGGGGGAGGUGGCUGGAGUCAGUCCCAGGGGUGUCCCCUCUCUCAGGAGUGGGGUCCCCUCUCUCCUGGGGAAUUAAGACAGUGACUUAGACGGGAACAGGUGAGGCCCGGUGGCCAGUGGCCCAUGGGCAAGGGGCCAACCUGGGGAGCUGCUGUGGGACAGGCUGUGGCCUCUGCCUUGCGGACACGGGGAGCGUGGCCGCCAAGGACUGGCCAGUCUCUUCCGCGAAGGCCUUGAUGACCACGGCUGUGGUCGCAGCUGGGUGGCCGCGGCUGCAGGGGCUCCGGGCCCAACUCUAUUGGGUCCAGUCGAGGAUCCCGCGGAGGACGCGGCCCCCUCUGGUGGUGAGAAGGGCGACCUUCCUAGCACCGCCCAGGACGAGGGGCUUCGAGGGCCCGAGAAGGCGGGAGGCCCCAAAGGCGACCAUGGGUCAGACAUCGGGGCCACAGGGCCUGGGCGGGGGGCGUUCCUUCGGUUGGACGCGCCCUCACCUGUCCCCGAACCCGAACCCUGGAACAGAGGCCUCAAGGGUCUGGAGCGAAGCCACCGACAGUGAUACGUGCAGCUAAUGGCCGGCUGGUGGCCUUGAUUUGCCCAACUGAGGGGCAGCGCGUCCCCCGGCCAAUCCGAAGUGCCUGGUGCCCCCUGGGAAGGUCUGCGGCCUCUGGAGAAGGCCUGGGUGUACUGGGAAAAUCUGCUCUCAAAGAAAGCUUGGCUGAAAAAUCAAACUUCACCAAAUCUGGACAUGCGGGGAGGAAGAGCUUGCUCUGUUUGAUGGUUAGAAAACAGCACGCCUUGGAAAUGCCCUUUUAAAUUAUUUUUUAAUUUAUUUAUUGGUACUGGGGAUUGAACCCAAGGGCACUUAACCACUGAGCCUCACUAAGUUGCUGAGGCUGGCUUUGAACUUGCAAUCCUCUUGCCUCAGCCUCCCCAGCCACUGGGAUUCCAGGCCUGCACCAUGGUGCCUGGCCUCCCAUUUGUUUUAAACAAUCAGAAAUGACUUCUGGAAGCGACUUUGAAAUGGAGCCACCUCUGGAAGUGACACCAGGAGUGACACCUGUUCCCUUGAGCAGAAGCUGGGACAAGGAAGAGAAGCCGGUCCUGGGCCACAUGGGUCCACACUGUUUGUGUGGGGAUUUCACUCCUCAUUCCUGUCCGUGGGCUUUGUUUUGCUUUUGUGUGCAGAGUGUCUAUAAAGGACAAACGAGUCCUCAUCUACGUCCGCAGUCUUUCUAGAUGUUAAAGAGGUGGCCACUGUGUGACCAAGUACUGUUCGUAAGCAUAAAUUAUGUCCAUUUUGUAUUAAAAUUCCUGGGAAAGAAGGUCUUCUAAAGAUGUCAGCAUUGGGCUGGGGAUGUGGCUCAAGCGGUAGCGCGCUCGCCUGGCAUGCGUGCGGCCUGGGUUCGAUCCUCAGCACCACAUACAAACAAAGAUGUUGUGUCCGCCGAAACUAAAAAAUAAAUAUUAAAAAAAAUUCUCUCUCUCUCUUUAAAAAAAAAAGAUGUCAGCAUUAUAGCCCCCGGGUCAGUGACGGGCCAGAAUGCUCAUAUUUUGAAGACAUUUCCAAAUUAGAACAUUGCUACCUGUGGGCAGUUGACUCCAGACUAUGGUGUAUGUGGCAGACGAAUCAAAGCCCUUACCUGAAACAUCUCGUCUGGUGAGAUGUUCAGAAGGGCCCUGCGUAUGUUAAAUGCAGAGGUGGCAAAAAUAUCGCUUUGUAGAUAUAUUUUUGCUCAACUUCAUAUCAAAUACUGUCUUUGGGGAGUGGAACUGUUAACCCACUGCUCUGAGUAGGGCUGUGGAGGUGGUUAUACGUUUAUUGUUUAUUUAGUUACUUUAACUAGGUGCUGAGGAUCACACCCAAGGCCUCACGCGUGCUAGGAGAGUGCCGUACCGCUGAGCCCCACCCUUGCAGUGUGCAUAUCAUGGACAAAACGAGACCCAGUUUUGCAACUUGGCGUCUCUAGAUGAUAAAGAGAUUGCCAGUGUAUGACAAAGUAAAAUUAGCACAUUUUCUGCAUUGUGUUAAAUCCAUGGGAAAGCUUGUCCUCUGUAAAUAAUUUCUGGCUGUGAAUUUGUUUAACCAUCUGUAAGCAUCACAUACGGCUGCACUUGUCCACUGGACUGAAUUUAGAGAGAAGGAAGUGGGGAGGGAGAGAUUUAAGGCCAAAACGGUCAUGUUAGAAGAUCCCUCGGAUUAUAACCACCGGGACGUGCACAGUUGUAUUUAUCAGUGCCGAGCUCGAGGAGGACAGGUUCUCUUGUGGGAGAGCUUCUGUAUAUUUAGAAGGGCUUGCCAUGUUUGAAAGUAGACAUCGUAGAAUAAAACUUUUUGUAAAUAGCUUUAAAAAAUGGAUGGGAAAUACUGUGUUUGGAAUCGUACCUGUUCACCAGGCUCACGGAGGUGGGAGGAAGAAGUGGCAAAAGGUGUCUUGUAGAAUGUGCUGGAAACCGUAGCUUGCCCACGGCCGUUUGUUCCCUGUGUUUCACUGAACGUUGUCCUGCUGUAUAUAUUGUGUACUUACUGGACAAAGGAGUCUUAAUUUCACAUCCAGUCUCCAGAUAUUAAAGAGUGUGCUGGUGUAUCGAUGAAAAAAAAUUCAUGUCCUUUAGUUUUAUGGCUCUAAUAUCUUUCUUUCCCCAGGAAGGUCCUGAGCACCGUGACCCAAGAUGCCAGGAGCCAAGGGGUCUGCCUCCCCCACAGGCUCCCCCAGGUCCCCAGGCAGCUGGGGCUUUAGACACGAGGAAAAUGGAUGCUACAAUUUUAUCCACUGACAUUUUGCAAAUUUGAAACGGGAUGAGCUGUGAGCUUGGCUCAGCCCCUAAAGGGCUCCUGUCCAAAAGAGGCCCCAGGGCCUGGGCUUCCCUGGCCAGGGACACUGGGCCUGGCUGGCCCCUCUCACUGCACCUCCCUCCCCUCCUUCCCCGGGGCGUCAGAACCCACGGCCCCUCCCCUGCUCGGCCCCAGGACGUGUGCCUGCGGCCAGGCCUCUCUGAUGAACGCAGCCUGCUCACCUCUGAUUGGUGACGUUGCUCGUGGUGAAAAGGGUCAUUCUCUUUGGCUCCCCUUGUUGAAUUCCAGGAGUUCUGGGAGGCUCAGCUGGGGAGUUCUCCUGGUGGCAGCUGGUGUCUCCUGGGGCUGCCACCACCUGACGGCUCCGCUGGGCCCGGCGGGACGUCCAAGAUGGCUCUUGGAGCAGAGAUUUGGACCCAGGCCACCCAGUGCCCGUUCCAGGUACCAGCCCCUGGGUGGUCCUGGUGUGGGCUUCUCAGCUGUCCUCCUGAGCCUCGCGGGGCGGCUCCUGGACAGCUGCUCCAUUUCAACGGCAAGACUGAGGGGGACACGUUUCCCUCCCAGCCAGGGCUUAUUUUAGCUGCUUAUUCUUUACGGUUUGUCAGCGUUCUCUGGCUUCUCCUUUAUCUCCGUGGCAGGGCCUGCUGUCCAGGUGGGCAGUGGCCAUCUCCCUGGUGCUUAUGUCAAGGUCCCCAGCAGCAGUGACCUGCAUGGAGCACCAUUGGCACCUGGUCCCAGGACUGGUCCAGGUCAGUUGGAGGCUGGCUCAGCAUCUGGGACCUGAGCCUUGAAUGCUGGUCUCCUGGGCACCAUGGGCAUCUCCACAGGGGGCAGGUGGGUGCCCAUCUGUGAAACGGGUGUGAAGGGCAGGGGUUUCAGUGAUGUCCACCUCUAGGUCUUCCGUGGGUGGAGUCGUGAGGAACCGCGUCUCACUACUGGGAAACUAGUGGCUCAUGCCACUCGGAGCCUCGUGUCUCUUCCACAUAACGAAUCAGGGGUAAGUGUCCAGGAUCGGGGAGGGGCUCCACGGUGGUGAUCAGGGACUUGUUGAUGGACGUCUGGGUGGCUUUCUAUUGCAGGGAGCCUCCUUGUCACUGUGUGGACAGACGCUUCCAUUUCUCCCGGUGAAUUCCUAGGAGCAGAAUGGGUAGGUCAGGCACAGGUGUCUCAGGGCAAUGGAAACUCACUGUUCACAACGCGGGAAGCCGGGAAAUUCAAGAUCAAGGUGCUAGCAGAUCCGGCGUCUGGCAAGGGCUGGUGCCUUCUUGCUGUGUCCUCACAUGGCCGGAGGAGCAAAAGGCUAACCAGCUCCCUUGAGCCUCUUCACAAGGGCGCUAACUCCGUCCAGGAGGCCCCACCCUUGUGAUUAAAACCGUCCCUAAGCACCCCCCCUUAGUACUCUCACACGGGCAACCAAGUUUCAGUGCAGAUUCUGUAGGAGACACAACCUCCCAUCCAGAGCAGUAAGAGACGGCCAGACGGUUUUCACAGUGGCUGAGCCGUGGCACUGGGACCAGCUGUGACGGGAGGUGAUUCUGUCAGCCUACACUUGCUAUUUUCAAUCUCAAGUGGUGCCCCUCCUGCUGGGUAUGAAGGGUAACUGGAGGGUUUCCGUUUCCUGUCUCUUGAGGGUUGCUAACGUCUUUUCAAGUGCGAGUUGGCUGUUUGGAUGCAUCUUCUCUUUGAAAGCUCAGUGUGCACCUCCAGUCAACAGGGAGGAUCUGGGGCUGGAAGAGCAGACCUUCGUCCUUCCUGUCCCUUCUGAUGGCUGGCUGGAAAGACGUCCACCCAGGGACCCUGGUUCGGCUGUGAUUUUCUCCAUUUUUCUCAGCAGGAAGCUCGGGAGGCGCCCUGACCCGCCGGCUGCACUCGUGGGUGAGUGCGGAGUGCGGCAUCCUGGAGCCGGGGCCUCCAACAAGGUGGCACUGCCUGGCCCCGCAGGCCACGUGACAGGCAUGCUCUCUGUCUGGAUCCCUGUGUCCCUGUCCAGUCUGUGUCGUGACUCACAAGGCAGCCAUCAGAGUACCCCAAAACGUCCUCCCUACGGUGUCAGGGACAGCGAUGAGCAAGACCCAAAUAAAAUGUGCAGCACAUUCCCUCACGUCUGGACAGUGACAGAAAAUCGAGCUACAAUUGCUUUCGUGCAUUCUGAGAGCUGGGUCUCUGCCCGAAGGCGGUGAUGUAAAUAAGGCUGAUGUUUACCUCUCUGUUGCGAAACGAUCUGAGCCUACAGGAGCAGUGCUGUCUGCAGAUGGCUGCUCUAGCUCCUGCCAUUGCAUCUGCCUUUCAGCUGAGGCAAGAAAACGAAGGGGAGGUACCUACCUUUCUUUUUGAAGGCAUUAACCGGAAAUUGUAGGACUCGUUUCUGCUCUCAUUCCAUUGGUCAGAAUCCAGUCAUGUGACCCCGUCUAUGUGUGUGGCAAGCACCUAUCUAAAUAGCUGUGUCUUUUAUUCCUGCAGAAGGAGGGGCGGGGGACACUGGGGACACAACCGCAGAGUCUUCCUCAGUGACUAGUGGCCAGGCAGUGUUUCAGUUGGUGAGGAAGAACAAUGGACAGGAAGCCUGAGGCCGGCAAGAUGGCUUGGAUCAAUGUUCCGCCCCAGUCCAGGUUGGAAAAGUCUGGCCCCGUGUGGGGUGCCUGGCUUCUGACACGCGAGAAGAAAAGACUUUCCGGGAACCCGCCUGCUGCUCUCUCCUUCCGUCUCACUGGUCACCUGGGUCACAGGGCUUCCCUCGCUGCAAGGGAGCCUGGGACAUUGGGAGCAGGGUCUCAGGAUUGGCUUGGAGCAGGGCACAGAGCCUCUUCCCGGGCAGCAGGGUUCUGUUGAGGCACAGAAGUGGGGUAUCCCCAGCUCUUGUUCGGCAGUGGCUUCUGUGCCGGUGAAGUGAAGUGUGUGUUGGUGGGUGCCCGCGGGAGUCACCCAUCCUCCGUGUUGUUGGCCAUUAACUUCAGGGUCCCCUCCACCUGCAGUGUGACUUGGAAAAAGAUAAAAUAAUUUUGCAACGAGCUUCACCUGUUUGCUGCGGGCGGCUUGUCCCUCCCUGUGUGGCUGGUUUGCAAGUGUCUGGGCAGUGGCACAGCUGUGCCUGGCUUCUCUAUGUGACAAGCCACUUGGAAAAACACCUCCACAUCUCUGGUCUCUUUUCUGCCAUUCGUGAUGGGAGUCAUCGAUUGUGCACUGGAGAGUUUUAUUUUGAGCUUGUUCUAUCUAGUAAACUCCAAUGGUUUCCCCCAGGGACGCCUCGAUGUGUUUUGGGGGGAAAAUGUGAAAACUUCACGGGGUCCUUUCCCAGCCAGCACCAGGCAGCUGACAGAGGAGCCCACACGGGUCACAGGUGACGCAGCUCUGGUGUUCGGUGUUUAUGGCUGUGCUUUCUGUGUUUUACAAAAUCAUACAUUUCUGAGCCAACACAUUCCACAGGCAUAUCAAAUCCUAUUUCACUAGGUUACGACUGAGUAUAUUUUGGAUUAUACAAUUUUUGUUGAAAUUUUGACUCUUACGUUGAUAUUUCAACAAUUCCAUUUUGCAUUAUAUGUUAUGUUUACUUUUCUUAUUUGGAGCUAUCGUACAACUGCAAACACAUAUUGAGAUCUUGCCAUGUGCCAGAUGUUGGCAGUUUUGAUUAUUAUUUAUUUUUUGUGGUGCUGGGGAUUGAACCCAGGGCCAUGCACACACUGGGUAAGCUCGACUCUGAGCUAACUCUAACCCACACAGAGGCAGUUUUUAAAACAUGUCCCAUUUUUAAAAAAUACUUCUGUUGUGGGACGGGGUCUAUGUUCCUUCCUCUCCAAUCUGGGCUGGCCCAGGCUUGGUGGCCCUGGGAAGCUCAAGCAGCAGAUCACAAGUUGGAGUCCAGCCUCAAUGAUUUAGGGAGAUCCUGUCUCAAAAUAAAAUAAAGAACGGGCUGCGGGUGUAG